UCCAAUUGAUUUUCAAGGCGGUCGACGCGAGUAUUUCCCCCGAAAGUUUCAUCAUAUAUCUCAAAGGAAAUUAACUAAUUCAGAUAACGCUUACAUUAUUCCCAAAACGUUGAAAAUGUUUCCUAAAAAACGUGAAAAGUGCAGAAAAAAUUCCAAAGACUGAGCUGAUAUUGCAUAAAAAAGAAACGAUGUUUUUUUUCAACGCGAUCGAACGGCCCGCAAAAACAACGCAAGUGUCAAAAGUUCCGCAAAACCGGAAACCAUAACAAACGAAUUCGCAAGUCGCCCAAUGUCAAUGACCUAAAUUCGGGGCUUCUCGGAAAAACAAAGUGGGAAAAAUCUAAUCCAGUCAAUGCAAACACGAAUUGCGGCUGCAGCAUCUUCAGCGACUUCGAUUAGAGCCAAUAGCAUCGGCUUUAUGUUUGCCUGACAUUUCAGAAGAGCACUAAACCUUGGAAGUUGUAAGAAAUCGGUCUUGUUCACCCCCACCCAACCCACAGGAUACACCUGCUG